UUGGUAUAUCUGCAUAUACACAAGGAACAAGCGAUUCUCAGAAUCAUACAAAACUGCCCACAAGAUUCCAAUGUUUAUAUGAGAAAAGCUUCAUUGUUUGGAUGAUAGAUGAAGAGAGAAUAAUCCCUUUAUAUUACCUUGCACGACUUCCCUGGCGAGUGUGG